rnacentral:rRNA from 1 species
CGACCGCUGGCGGCGUGCUUAUCACAUGCAAGUCGAACGGAAAGGCCCUGCUUUUGUGGGGUGCUCGAGUGGCGAACGGGUGAGUAACACGUGAGUAACCUGCCCUUGACUUUGGGAUAACUUCAGGAAACUGGGGCUAAUACCGGAUAGGAGCUCCUGCUGCAUGGUGGGGGUUGGAAAGUUUCGGCGGUUGGGGAUGGACUCGCGGCUUAUCAGCUUGUUGGUGGGGUAGUGGCUUACCAAGGCUUUGACGGGUAGCCGGCCUGAGAGGGUGACCGGCCACAUUGGGACUGAGAUACGGCCCAGACUCCUACGGGAGGCAGCAGUGGGGAAUAUUGCACAAUGGGCGGAAGCCUGAUGCAGCAACGCCGCGUGCGGGAUGACGGCCUUCGGGUUGUAAACCGCUUUCGCCUGUGACGAAGCGUGAGUGACGGUAAUGGGUAAAGAAGCACCGGCUAACUACGUG